rnacentral:rRNA from 1 species
UACAGAGGGUGCGAGCGUUAAUCGGAAUUACUGGGCGUAAAGCGUGCGUAGACGGUUAUUUAAGUCGGAUGUGAAAGCCCCGGGCUCAACCUGGGAAUUGCAUUCGAGACUGAAUAGCUAGGGUGCGGUAGAGGGAAGCGGAAUUUCCGGUGUAGCGGUGAAAUGCGUAGAUAUCGGAAGGAACAUCAGUGGCGAAAGCGGCUUCCUGGACCAGCACCGACGUUCAGGCACGAAAGCGUGGGGAGCAAACGGG